GCAGCGUACUGGACAUUUACUGACGGUCAGAGACGAAAGCGUGGGUAGCGAAAGGGAUUAGAUACCCCUGUAGUCCACGCUGUAAACGAUGGAUACUCGGCGUUGGAGGAUUCGACCCCUUCAGUGCCUGAGCUAACGCGUUAAGUAUCCCGCCUGGGGACUAACGGCCGCAAGGCUAAAACUCAAAGGAAUAGACGGGGACCCGCACAAGCGGUGGAGCAUGUGGUUUAAUUCGUCAAUACGCGAAGAACCUCACCAGGACUUGACAUCCCGAGAACUUUCCAGAAAUGGAUUGGUGCCGCAAGGAACUCGGUGACAGGUGCUGCAUGGUUGUCGUCAGCUCGUGCCUUGAGGUGUACGGUUAAGUCCGUUUAACGAGCGCAACCCUCGUCCUAUGUUGUAUGUUUCAUAGGAGACUGCCCGGUACAACCGGGAGGAAGGUGAGGAUGAUGUCAAAUCAGCAUGGCCCUUAUGUCCUGGGCUACACACGUGCUACAAUGGUUGAUACAAAGGGCAAGCAAAGCUGUAAGGUGGAGCAAAUCCCAAAAAAUCAAUCUCAGUUCGGGAUUGAGGUCUGUAACUCGACCUCAUGAAGCUGGAAUCGCUAGUAAUCGUGAAUCAGCUAUGUCACGGUGAAUAGUUCCCGGUCUUGUACUCACCGCCCGUCAAGUCAUGAGAGGAGAUAGUGCCC
rnacentral:rRNA from 1 species